CGGCGUGGGUAAUGCGUGUGAGUGUGGAUUGUAAUGUCGAGGGUGGUAUUGGAAGCGGCAUGGGUAUUGCGUGUGUAAAUUGUGAUUUUGAAGUUUUGGCGCAGUGUAUGAAAUGUGUGUGUCAGAAUUGUGAAAAUAGAAAAUGUUAAAUGGAAAAAUGGUGCCGAUAUUGUGUAUUUCAUAAGAAUAAGCUACUUCAUCUAUUUCAGCGUAGCUUAGUUUGACAUUACGAACAAUAUUUCGAUAGAACGCAAGACAAUUCGAAGUAGAAAAGUAAUGCGAAAUGAAGCUUAACAGAAUGCUUAGUCAAUUCUUAAAUGCUAAAUCCAGUUCAUUUCUGAAGGCCUUUGUUAAUAAUUAAAACAAAAACAUUUUGAAUUUGAAUUCCACCAAUCCAGCAGUUAUGGAUUUUUUUAUGGGUAUAUGACUGAUUAAUAAUGCCGAGUUCCCACUCUGCCUUGGAAUAUUCUCCCGUCAGAAGAAAGAUUGAACAAUCAAUUAACAGAUAAAUCGAGUGAACUAAUGAAAUUUGCUUCGUGACAUUAUUUCCGAAAAUCUCUCAUAAUGAGAACUCUCAGCUCAAGACAACAAAUGCAAUUCAUAAAGAUUGUAGCCAAUAAAUGUAGUAAAUUUUUAAUGGUUGAGUAGUAUCGACACAUAGCAUUUUAAUGCUUACAUUCUGAGGAGCAGAAAUAAAUUAAAUUCAUAUUUCGUUAAAUUUGAUAGGAGUCCUAAAAAAAUUCGCUCUUUUCCCCAUAAAAUUUCAAAUACUAUUAAAAUAAAAAUAUUUAUUUCAUGGACGUUACAGAUUUUCUAGAAAAUUUCUUCGAAUAAUACUUAUUCUCAUUUGGAAGGGCUUAAGAGGACUUUUAACUGGAAUGAAGCUUAGGUUAAUUUCAAAAUUUCUAUACUUUCAAGUAAGUUUAUUUUAAUUGUAUUUUAAAUUUAAACGCGCAGUUCUUGCAAUAUAGAACAAUAAUUGCUCCUUUUCCAUAAUGUUCAAUUAUGAAACAUUUCGCUCUUUUAACCACCCUUCUUUCUCCGUCUUGGAAUUAAAAUCCCUAUCUAAUAUGAAAAGUAAUCUUGUGGGCCUCGGCUAUUUAAUAUUCUAUAUAUUCAUUAUUCUUCUAAUUGAUAUAACAAUUUCACAUCCCAUGAAAAAAAGUUUUGAUUGAGGCUUGCAUUGUCGAUCAACCGUAAACUGAUAAGCUAUUUCUGAUGUUGAAGGCAUGUCAUUUCUUCUGAAUAGAGUAGCUCGGCUUAUUUGAACUUCUCUCCUCCCAGAAUUUAGAAACAAUUUAGUUCGCUCCAUAUCGCAACAGAAAGGAAGUUUGAAUAACCUCAUAUAUCGAAUGCGGGGAGAAUUUCACUAACUUUCAAUGAAAAUAAGUAAUUGGCUGGAGCAUCGAUAGGAAAACUUGGGUAAUCGAGCUUUAGAGAUAAAAAAUAAACAUUUUUAAAUGUAGCUAUUCUAAUUUUAUUUAUACAAAUUUGGUAUUGAACCUCUUUGAACUUAAACAUGUAAAAAAAAUCAUUUUCAUAAAAUUUUUAAAAAUAUGAAAUGUUUUAAGACAAAGACGUAGUUUGAAAGCAACGUUGCUUGUUGUAAACAAAAAAAGCACAAUUUGAUCACUUUUCUGCAAUUCACCUUCAAAAAUUUAAAAACGGUAAUCUUUACUUUCUGAAUUGAAUUACAGUUAUGUUUUGAACCUUGAGCUUCAGCGCAGAUUAUCCUACAAAAGUAUCUUGUACUAGAAUAAUAUCUAUAUAAAAACGGUAAUCGCUAGCAAUGAGUUGCCGCUGAACUAUUUUUAACUAUUUGAAACUUUCUAAGAUGAAUUAAAAUAUACACGCUUGAUGGACGCUUAGAUAGAAUGAGGAAGAAACAUUAAUAGUCUCUGGAUAUUCCAUGCAUGUGGCUUCUAAACGACGUGAGUGCCAGAAUUAUAUGGGUUUUACAUGGUAAAGGCUAAUGACAGAGACAAGAACCAUGGUGAUUGUUUUCUUGUGCCUUUUUCUACAAAUGUGCCGAUUGAAUGAAUGUUAAGUUGGCAUCUUCAAUGUGUAAAAAUGAUUGGAACAUUAGAUCUUGAAUUUAAACUGUUUCACUAAACCACAUAGUUUCUGUUAGAUUCAUUACAUUUUUUAAUCAUUUGAGUGAAAUGGAAAGUCACAGAAAUCAUUAAAGAAGCAGAUUAGCCGUUUAAUGGGAACAAUUGCACAACGUCAUUCACCAUAAGAAGAGGGAGGGACUGCCUUUACAGCUUUUGGCAAAAAGCACGGAUAGUAGCUGUCCAGAUGGCCAAAAAAAAAUUUUGUUUCACACAAAGUAAUAUCGGCUGGAUAACUUUUGACGCUUAAUAGAUACUAAUUUGCGUGAUAAAGAUAUGAUGCCAAACACCGUAUUUUCUCAGUUCCAUACACAUGUCAUCUAUAUCAAUUUUGCUGGAUGCGAGGAAGUAUUCGCUUAAGAUACGUCUAUGUAUCCAAAGGCACAAUUGACAUGUUUUGACCGAAAUGACCAUGGCUCAACAGGAAAUAUCUGGAACCUACAAGUGGAUUUUGGAAUUUGGACCCUUUUCAAAUUAAAUUAUGGUCAGAGAUCCAACAGAUAUAAUUGAUAGUUUCAAAAGCUAGGAAUAUUAAACCAAGUUCAAAAUGCAUCGCCUUUAAUACUCGCAAAUUAUCAAGACUUAAAUUCAGUCUGCACAGUGGAUUGAAAGUGAAAGGUUUAUGAUCUCUCCAUAUACCAGACAAGUGGUUUCAAAGAAACGAGGGCAAAAUCAUGUGGAUUUAACAUGUGUAAUCCGUGAUAGAAGAAAAUAACCAUGAAGAUUUCUUCUUAUUAAACUAUGGAAUCAAUGUUAAUUUGGAGGAUUUUUUUUUUGUGCAAUGACAGCAAGAACUUGUGAGAUAACAUCCGUUUGCUCCAGUUUACUUGUACUUAAAUACUUGGGUGAAAUAGAACGUCAUAUAAAGCAAACAAAGAUCAACUAAUCUGCAUUUGAUUCUACAGCAGCGCACUGUGCAAAGAAUACAUCUGAUGUCAUC